UAUAAUAAUCUCAAUCAACCAUUGAUUAGGCACCUCUAAUCCAAUCAAAAUCAUAUCAAAUAAGAUUUAAUGUUACAUAAAAAAUCUUAAUUAUAUCUCAUGUAAAUAAUUAUAAAAAAUUUUAUUUUGCAUGCAUAUAUUUCAGAUCUACUCUGAUACCAGUUGAAGGGGAGGAAACAGUUUCCCUCCAGAAUGCCCUGGUUGUAUCUAAGAAUUUUCUGUAAUAUUUUACUUGUUUAAGGAUCAAAUCUUUAUCUGAAUUAUAGCAAAACUAGAGAUCAAAUCUCAAAUUAUUUGAUAUAAAUCUUCAUGGAGGUCUGGAUAUGCAGACUCUCUACUUCGCAUGCACAUCAGACGCCGUAGGAAAGCAGGAUGAACUCCAAUCCAAUUGGCUUCACAACUCAAUCAAUCGAGGGAUGAGAUGUGAUGGUAUGACACCUCAAACCAGUAGGUGGGAUGCUCAAGAAGGUCCACACCCAAGGAGAGGAGGUGGCAACAAAAGGAGAGAUGUAGAAGAUGAAGGACCUUUCUCUUUACACGCC
rnacentral:lncRNA from 1 species